CCAACGAACUGGGUCAUUCAUAUCCGGGACGAUCCAUACCCGUCACUCGGGUAUUACCCAUUCGUUGUCAGUAGUUCUGCUGCAUAAUAGUGACUAGUUGAGUCUCCCGUCCCUCUCUCAACGCGUUAGGUGACUGGAGGUAUGUGUAAGAAUGUGACAGUCAGAUGACAUGGCUACAUACUGACAUACUGAAGCGGUACAAGUUGACAAACGAACAACCAAGAGUCGUGGCUUCGCAUUUCUUCAAGACCUGUAUGUAUGAGUCGAAUAUACUGUAGUGGACAUUUAGAUCUAUUUAUUAAUCGUCUUGUGUCUCGUGAAGAACGUGGGUCCACGGUUACUCUCAAAAGAACAUGUAGUAAACAGUGUGAAUACAGAUGAUUGUAUUAUCAAGAUGUCGGACGCAAAGGUUCAUAUAGUGACAUGCUCGAACUUUGAAUGUGAAACAGAGUAUGCUCGUAUGUGUGUCGAUUUGGAGACCCGGGGGGUCGUGUGCGUCAUGGAAGGGAGAGGGGAUUAUGGCAUCGGAUCUACUUUUGUGGAGAAGUUCAAGGAAAUGGUGGAAAGUACUCUUGUUACUAUAAUACAUCUCUGUCCUGACAUGAUCGGCCGUCUGACGAAUUUAACUGACGUUUUACAGGGUCACCAGCGUCAGAAAUAUUUAUUCAUUCACGUCAAAUCCACGCCGAAAGAAAUCCCGGUGGUUUACAAAGAAGUUACUAAGAUGCUCUUAGUAAAUGACUCAUACUAUAAGAAGAUCAUAGACAAGAUUUUGGAGAUUGUGCAACAGCCUAUCUGUGCGUCGUCUGCUACUGAACUCACCUACGCUUCUGCUACAGAACUGUCGUCUGCUACAAAAGAGGAUGACGACUUAUAUUCGGACACUGGGAUUAGUCCUUAUUUCAACCCACCGCUGACAGAGCGUGACGUGUUUGUCAGCCACGUAGAAGAUCAGCAAUGUAGAGAUACAGGUGUUUACUUUUUGUCCAGCAAGAUACAAUGCAAGCCUCACCAUCUCCUGAAAUGGUCAUCCCAAGGGGAACUUCGGGAGAUGUGCCACAAGAGUAGACUUUAUGACAGCAGCAACAGAUCAAACACAGUUCGUUGUCUUCUGACCAAAGUUCUUCCAGAUAUCUUUGCAAGGAAGAAAAUACCUGAAAUAGCUGAACUUCUGGCAGUUCCAAUUUCUGUGGUGCAGAAUAAAGUUCUUACUAAACUCAGGGACAUCCUGCUUUCAACUAAACCUGAAGACAUUGAUCAUUCUGAUCUUCGGACAGCUGAAAAGGCUCUGUUUGAAUGCUGUCUGACAAAGACAGAUUUUAUAGAUCCUGUGUUCGUGCCUAAUUUCAUCUGCACGUACCUUUUGACUCUCGUCUAUUUAACGGUGUUCCAAGACAGCCGUCAUUCAUCUUUGGAUACCGUGAUCAAACGGGUAAAGCAAUUCAUUUCACAGCAAAGCCUGGGAAGCAAUAUUCCUUUCGGUGACAUAAGUAGUUUUGUUGAUGACAUCCGAAAACGUAUUGAUGACGUUGACAAAGCAGUGAAGGCAAUUGGAACGAAUCGGAAGCACCUUUCCACCGUGAAGAAGAAGUCCUGGCCAGUUCAUUUUUCUAUGGUUUUGGGUACACUUAUUGAGGUGUUUCACGGCGAACCCCAGACAGCCCUUGCGGCCUUGGACACUCUUCCACUGCUACUGAAGCCAAGACAACCCAGAGUUAGGAACGUGUUGCAAAAACCCAAACUGAACGAGAGAGUCAUACAGAUGGUCACAUCUGGAAUGGUUGCAUACCUGAAUGCCUUAGGAGAUACAGUCGGUGAGGAUAUAGAGGAUCGUGUCAAGUCUGCUUUCACGGCUCUUGGAUUGUCACUAAAGUACUUGGACGGAAGUAUGUUCGGUAUGGUGAGAUGUUUGCUGUUUUCACAAAAUCCAGUAAUCAGACAAGGUGCUAUGAUCCUGUGGAAAGAUGCCAGUGAUGAAACAACUGAAAGUUUAAUGGUGACAGAAGUUCUGAAACAUCUACAGCCAAUCAGCACCAACCACUUGCACAAACAACCAACCAACCAUUCCACAAGCAGUGCAAGCUGGAAAGUAGCUUCUACUCGAAUUGGUUCAGACAAAAUCAUGCUCCACAUCAAUUUACCUUCAGAGGAAGUCCUUGUGAAACAUAACAGGAGUCCAUUCAAGUCAUCAGAUUGUGGCCACCUCACUUCUGUCGAAGUUCUGAGAGAUCUGUCUACACACCCGCAUAUUUUGUUUAUGUGGGCAUAUCGAAUCGACCAGUUCCCUGUGUUCUACAUCACUGAGGAUUACAGUCAACAGAACUUCCAAAAGGUGCUUUAUUAUAGUGCAAAGAGCAAGGCCUGGUUUCAACCUCUUGAGCUCAUGCAGUUUCUUAUACAAGCUCUGGAAGCAGUUAUCGCCCUUCAUGAACAUGGCGUUAUACAAAGAGAUCUUACAGCUGCCAGUUUUGCAUACAACAAGGAAAGCAAGACUGUCAAGCUGUGCCGCUUCAUGUUGGCGCGAAAAUGUGGGCGAGAAGAAACUGUUGUUGACAGAGAAUGUUCGUCCAUUCCCAUGAGAUGGUCUGCCCCAGAGUCUCUCAAGCAACACCAUUUCUCUAUGCGGUCUGAUUACUGGAUGGUUGGACAUCUCAUCUACGAAAUCAUCACACACGGCUGCCUUCCCUACUCAGAUCUCGGACGGCAAAAUGUGUCCGCCAUAGAAAACAUGAUAAAGGAAAACAGAAAGAAGUUAUACCAAGAAAGAUGCAUCCCAACAUCAGUGUUUGAUGUCAUCCAAAGCUGCACUACUUUUGAUGACACACAUCGGAUGUCGGUGUGUGAAGCAAAAAGCAGACUGGAGGAGACCUACGAUCGUUACGUCAGCUCCAACGAUCUACCUGAAAAGAUAUCUUCCGUGACACCAGACAUUUUGUUUCCUGGACUUGACAGAACAUCCUAUCAGGAUCUCCCUAACGAAGAUUCAGAAAGAGACGAUGGUUAUGAUGAUGCAGUUCAUGACUACCAAAACUUUAAAGAAAGUCAAACCUCCUCGUCAGUAGAAGAACCGUUGUAUGAAGAAUUGGGACCCAAGGAAGAUGUGGGUUCUCUGCUGAAACCAAACCAGAGGAUGGAUGUACUGCGUCGACGCCUGACACAAACAGAGGAGUCACAGUUGAAUACAGAAAACAUCCCAGGAAUAUACGGCUGUGUGACUGUUGAAGAAAGCAAUCAAACAGAAUACCUGGUGUACGAUUUCCCAACUGGACACUGUGUUUCCUUGAGCAACGUGGUGGACGUUAGGAGCUUCGGCCUCUGGUCUGUGAAGUACAUUCGCUGUUUGAGUGCAGUAGCAAGGACGUUGUCUCUUCUUCAUCAGCGAAACUGGGUCCAUGGUUGUCUGAGUACAGAUAACAUAUGGAUAUGUGAUACUAAAGAUGAUGGCGAUUACAAGGAUUCAGAAACAGACGGUUAUGGUGGUUAUGAUGAUACAGUUCAUGCCUACCAAAACCUUGAAGAAAGUCAAACCUCCUCGUCAGUAGAGGGAACCGUUGUAUGAGGAAUUAGAACCCAUCGAAGAUGUGGGUUUUCGGCUGAAACCAAACAAGAGGAUGGAUGUACUGCGUCGACGCCUGACACAAACAGAAGAGUCACAGUUGAAUACAGAAAUCAUCCCAGGAAUAUACGGCCGUGUGACUGUUGAAGAAAGGAAUCAAACAGAAUACCUGUUGUACGACUUCCCAAAUGGAC
rnacentral:misc_RNA from 1 species